UCAGAGAUAGGGUACCCAAGUAAGUCUACCUGCAUCUGCAAGGCUGGGUGCUGUGGGGGAGUCAGCUGGUACAGUGAAGAAAAUUAAACUGGAACUUCAUCAGCAAAAGGGAAUGUGAUCUCCAAUACUGGCAAAUUGAGUUCUGGUGACCAAGGAGGUGAAGAGAUGAGAUGCUCUGCAGGACCUGAUUUUCACAAACGAGAUCUUGUUGGGAAUGUGAAUGCCAGGAGCAGAUGUGGCCACCAUGGAGUUCAGGAUCCUGAGAGAAGACAGCAAUUUAACAACCCUGGACAUUAGGAAAGCAAACAAUGAGACCUGCUUGGAAGUAUCCCACGUGACAGCAUCUUGCAGAAGAGAGGAGGAGUUCAGGAAGGCUGACUGAUUUUCAAGGAUCACCUCUUCCAGACUCAAGAGUUGUUGAUCCCCACCUGCAGGAAGUAAAACAAAGGUGGGAGGAGGCCUGCAUGGAUGAACAGGAAGCUCAAAGAUUUCUCAGUAGCCUGUACAGUUGUCUGCAUUGGACUCUCUUCAGAGUGGUGAAAGCAGUAAGUAAAGUUGUGGACAUGUAACCUCUUAAAAAAAUAUUGCUAGUCAUUAAUAACAAUUUACACAUACAAAUUUUACAGUGUUUGGAUGGAGAAUUUUGGUUCAGGCCCAGUUUUCCCAGUAUACACUUUUUAAGGUGUUUGGGGAAGAUAUAUUAUCUUCUGAAAAAA